rnacentral:misc_RNA from 1 species
GUGAAUCAUCAAAUCUUUGAACGCAUAUUGCACUCUCUGGUAUUCCGGAGAGUAUGCCUAUUUGAGGGUCAUUUAAAAUAAUAUAAAUUCCAAUAUUUCUCGGAAUUUAACAUGGGUUGUCCAUUGUUUGUGGUCGCCUAAAAUCCAAGACAAGCUCAUUUUCUUGGGUUGCGUGAUACUUUCAGUUACCUCGUGACUUAACCAGGAAUCAUCGUGCUUGUUUUGCAUUUGGCAAGCGAUAAAGAAUUCCAUC